GAUGAAGAACGCAGCGAAAUGCGAUACGUAGUGUGAAUUGCAGAAUUCAGUGAAUCAUCGAAUCUUUGAACGCACAUUGCGCCCCCUGGUAUUCCGGGGGGCAUGCCUGUUCGAGCGUCAUUUCACCACUCAAGCCUCGCUUGGUAUUGGGCAACGCGGUCCGCCGCGUGCCUCAAAUCGACCGGCUGGGUCUUCUGUCCCCUAAGCGUUGUGGAAACUAUUCGCUAAAGGGUGUUCGGGAGGCUACGCCGUAAAACAACCCCAUUUCUAAGGUUGACCUCGGAUCAGGUAGGGAUACCCGCUGAACUUAAGCAUAUCAAUAAGCGGAGGA
rnacentral:misc_RNA from 1 species